rnacentral:ncRNA from 2 species
UACGUAGGGUGCGAGCGUUAAUCGGAAUUACUGGGCGUAAAGGGUGCGCAGGCGGUUUUGUAAGUCAGAUGUGAAAUCCCCGGGCUUAACCUGGGAACUGCGUUUGAAACUACAAGACUAGAGUGUAGCAGAGGGGGGUGGAAUUCCAUGUGUAGCAGUGAAAUGCGUAGAGAUAUGGAAGAACACCGAUGGCGAAGGCAGCCCCCUGGGCUAACACUGACGCUCAGGCACGAAAGCGUGGGGAGCAAACAGG